rfam:Patagioenas fasciata monilis isolate BTP2013 Sc31e1R_515, whole genome shotgun sequence.
GGCAGCCCUGUCAAAUUCGGUCCCUGCCUCACCCGUGGUGGGGACCGGCCAACCGGCUGCCACAGCAACUUCUGCCGUCCACGGUCCCCUCGUCCCCUCCCGUGGGGACCCAGGGGUAAAGUCACACUGCAGACACAG